CCCACCUCUAUGCUUGCUUUCUGUCUGUUUUGUAUUCAUGAACUGAAAAGCAGUGCCUGCUGAAAAAGACUACAGUGUUUUAAAACUAUUCUGAAGUUUUAGAAAAUGUUUCAAGCAGGUCUUCUGGGAGCUUCUAAUAUUUUGCUGGCAGCUGAUAUCCUGUUUUCCUCUUGGUUUACAAAGAAAACUCAGUGUCGAGGGAGCUGAAGACUGGGAUGUGCUGGACUAAUAUAAAUUUAACCAAAGCCAAGAAUGCCCCUGGUUUGGCUCUGAAAAGAGUACUAAGCAGCCAAGGACAUUUGGAUAGCCAAAUCCAACCCAGUGCGGUACUCACAGUGCCAUCAAUGUGCUUUCAAAAGAAGGAAAAAAAGCAGAAAAUACAACGUUGGUCUAUAGUAUUUAUAGAAAUAUCUGCUGUUAUUUGGUGUCAGAGGUCAUGGACCAUCAUCCAUCCUGUAAGUUGGAUCAUUUAGGUAAGGUAUAUUAGAAGUCUUGGUAUGCUUUAGAAAGGAAAUGAUAAUACAUUUCCUUUCAUUUCCUAUGCAUUUCUGCAUUAUAAAAAUGCAUUUUAUACAUUUCCU
rnacentral:lncRNA from 1 species